UGUGGAAAGACGUGGAACCUGUUAUCCGUGGCCCUUUUUCUGUUGUACUACUGGAAUUUGUAAUUAGCAGUGCAAUAUUAAAAGGGCAUUGGCUGACAGAACCCUAACACAACUUAAUA
rnacentral:pre_miRNA from 14 species